UAAAUUAAUUCGACGGUCCA
rnacentral:siRNA from 1 species